rnacentral:rRNA from 1 species
UCGAGAGGCUUCGGCAAUGGGGGAAACCCUGACCGAGCGACGCCGCGUGGGUGAUGAAGUUUUUCGGAACGUAAAACCCUGUCAGGUGGGAUGAAAUACCAUUCGGUUAACACCCGAGUGGUUUGACAGUACCACCAGAGGAAGCUCCGGCUAACUCCGUGCCAGCAGCCGCGGUAACACGGGGGGAGCAAGCGUUGUUCGGAUUCAUUGGGCGUAAAGAGCUCGUAGGUGGCUCUGUAAGUAGGUGGUGAAAGCCCACGGCUCAACCGUGGAUACGCCUCCUAAACUGUGGAGCUUGAGGCUGGGAGAGGAAAUCGGAAUUCCUGGUGUAGCGGUGAAAUGCGUAGAUAUCAGGAGGAACACCGGUGGCGAAGGCGGAUUUCUGGACCAGUUCUGACACUGAGGAGCGAAAGCCAGGGGAGCAAACAGG